ACCUGCCUGGCUCAGUCAGCAGAGCGUAUGACUCUUGAUCUCAGGGUUGUGAGUUCGAGCCCCACAGUGGGUG
rnacentral:tRNA from 1 species